UACGAAGGGUGCAAACGUUGCUCGGAAUCAUUGGGCGUAAAGCGCACGUAGGCGGCUUCGCAAGUCGGAUGAUGAAAUCCCGUCGGCUCAACCCAAAGGACGUUGCAUCCGAAACUGCGAAGCUUGAGUACAGAAGAGGAUCGCGGAAUUCCCGGUGUAGAGGUGAAAUUCGUAGAUAUUGGGAGGAACACCAGUGGCGAAGGCGGCUACCUGGACCGGUUUCUGACGCUGAUGCGCGAAAGCGUGGGUAGGCAAACAGGA
rnacentral:rRNA from 1 species